rnacentral:rRNA from 1 species
UUAAGCAUAUCAAUAAGCGGAGGAAAAGAAACCAACAGGGAUUGCCCUAGUAACGGCGAGUGAAGCGGCAACAGCUCAAAUUUGAAAUCUGGCUUCGGCCCGAGUUGUAAUUUGCAGAGGAUGUUUAUGGUGCGGUACCUUCCGAGUUCCCUGGAACGGGACGCCACAGAGGGUGAGAGCCCCGUCUGGUUGGAUACCAAACCUGUGUUAAACUCCUUCAACGAGUCGAGUAGUUUGGGAAUGCUGCUCUAAAUGGGAGGUAAAUCUCUUCUAAAGCUAAAUACCGGCCAGAGACCGAUAGCGCACAAGUAGAGUGAUCGAAAGAUGAAAAGCACCUUGAAAAGGGGGUUAAACAGUACGUGAAAUUGUUAAAAGGGAAGCGUUUAUGACCAGACUUGUGUCGUGUGGCUCAUCCGAGGUUCUCCCCGGUGCACUCCACACGGCUCAGGCCAACAUCGGUUCUCGUUGGGGGAUAAGAACAGUAGGAACGUGGCCCUCUUCGGAGGGUGUUAUAGCCUGCUGUACGAUACCCUGAUGGGGACCGAGGACCGCGCUUCGGCUAGGAUGUUGGCGUAAUGGUCAUUAGCGACCCGUCUUGAAACACGGACCAAGGAGUCGUCCAUUAGAGCGAGCGUUUGGGUGUAAAACCCGCACGCGUAAUGAAAGUGAAAUUAGGUGAGAGCUUCGGCGCAUCAUCGACCGAUCCUGAAGUUUACGGAUGGAUUUGAGUAAGAGUUUUAACGGACGGACCCGAAAGACAGUGAACUAUGCUUGAAUAGGGUGAAGCCAGAGGAAACUCUGGUGGAGGCUCGCAGCGGUUCUGACGUGCAAAUCGAUCGUCAAAUUUGAGCAUGGGGGCGAAAGACUAAUCGAACUGUCUAGUAGCUGGUUACCGCCGAAGU